rnacentral:rRNA from 1 species
UACGUAGGGUGCGAGCGUUGUCCGGAAUUACUGGGCGUAAAGAGCUCGUAGGUGGUUUGUCGCGUUGUCCGUGAAAACUCACAACUCAAUUGUGGGCGUGCGGGCGAUACGGGCAGACUGGAGUACUGCAGGGGAGACUGGAAUUCCUGGUGUAGCGGUGGAAUGCGCAGAUAUCAGGAGGAACACCGGUGGCGAAGGCGGGUCUUUUGGGCAGUAACGUGACGCUGAGGAGCGAAAGCGUGGGGAGCGAACAGG